CCCUUAGAUGUUCUGGGCCGCACGCGCGCUACACUGAUGCAUUCAACGAGCACCCGCUGGGCCGAGAGGUCCGGCUAAUCUUUGAACGUGCAUCGUGCUGGGGAUAGAUGAUUGCAAUUAUUCAUCUUCAACGAGAAAUUCCUAGUAAACGCAAGUCAUCAGCUUGCAUUGAUUACGUCCCUGCCCUUUGUACACACCGCCCGUCGCACCUACCGAUUGAAUGGUCCGGUGAAAUUCUCGGACGCGGACUUGCGAUGUUAAUUCGGAGCUUGACUGUGAAAGUUAAUUAAACCUUACCAUUUAGAGGAAGGUGAAGUCGUAACA
rnacentral:rRNA from 1 species